rnacentral:rRNA from 1 species
GAUGAACGCUGGCGGCGUGCCUAAUACAUGCAAGUCGAGCGAACAGACGAGGAGCUUGCUCCUCUGACGUUAGCGGCGGACGGGCGAGUAACACGUGGAUAACCUACCUAUAAGACUGGGAUAACUUCGGGAAACCGGAGCUAAUACCGGAUAAUAUAUUGAACCGCAUGGUUCAAUAGUGAAAGACGGCUUUGCUGUCACUUAUAGAUGGAUCCGCGCCGCAUUAGCUAGUUGGUAAGGUAACGGCUUACCAAGGCGACGAUGCGUAGCCGACCUGAGAGGGUGAUCGGCCGCACUGGAACUGAGACACGGUCCAGGCUCCUGCGGGAGGGAGCAGUAGGGAAUCUUCCGCAAUGGGCGAAAGCCUGACGGAGCAACACCGCGUGAGUGAUGAAGGUCUUCGGAUCGUAAAACUCUGUUAUUAGGGAAGAACAAAUGUGUAAGUAACUAUGCACGUCUUGACGGUACCUAAUCAGAAAGCCACGGCUAACUACGUG